rnacentral:misc_RNA from 1 species
GAAAUGCGAUAAGUAGUGUGAAUUGCAGAAUUCAGUGAAUCAUCGAAUCUUUGAACGCACAUUGCGCCCCUUGGUAUUCCAUGGGGCAUACCUGUUCGAGCGUCAUCUACACCCUCAAGCUCUGCUUGGUGUUGGGCGUCUGUCCCGCCCCCGCGCGUGGACUCGCCCCAAAUCCAUUGGCAGCGUUCCUUGCCCCCUCUCGCGCAGCACAUUGCGCUUCUCGAGGGCGGCUCCGGGACGCGAUCCAGCAAGAUGACCACCGUCUUUGACCUCGGAUCAGGUAGGGAUACCCGCUGAACUUAAGC